rnacentral:rRNA from 1 species
CAGCCGCCGCGGGAAAACGUAGGUGGCAAGCGUUGUCCGGAAUUAUUGGGCGUAAAGGGCUCGCAGGCGGUUUCUUAAGUCUGAUGUGAAAGCCCCCGGCUCAACCGGGGAGGGUCAUUGGAAACUGGGAAACUUGAGUGCAGAAGAGGAGAGUGGAAUUCCACGUGUUGCGGUGAAAUGCGUAGAGAUGUGGAGGAACACCAGUGGCGAAGGCGACUCUCUGGUCUGUAACUGACGCUGAGGAGCGAAAGCGUGGGGAGCGAACAGGAUUAGAUACCCCGGUAGUCCCUGUCUCUUAUAC